rnacentral:sRNA from 1 species
AAAAGAAACGUAACGGCUAAUACCAACAAGUAACAACGUUCAAAAUUCUCUACUUCUAUAUAAUAAGAAGGAAACUCAAGUACAUUCUUCCCCAACCGAAUGGCCGACUUUCUCAUCAUAUUUGGAAGAGUUACAGAACGAUAAAAAUGAGUUCACAAGCUUUUUUUUUUUAUCUUUAAUCUCUCGUAGUGCUAAUGUUAAAGCGGAUUUUUUGUCACGAAAAGUUCGUAUCCAACCGCUUCAUAUUACAUUUGUAAACAACAUUCUUCAGAAUUGUCUUUUUUGAGUCCUAAUUAAUUUUCGGAUGACAAAAAAAAGAAAAAAACUCUAAGUACACUCCUCUCUUGUUACAGCCAAAUAAAAUGUUU